rnacentral:lncRNA from 1 species
AAUAGUAUAUAUUAUAGACUUUUAAAAUUAUUAUUGGUACCCAAUAAUAAAUUUUAUGCAUCUAAGGGUUAAAAAAUUGGUAGUAUAUAUUAUUCACAUGCUAUUAGAAGUAUUUUAAUUAGUUGAAUUAUACAUGCGAAUCUGUCAGAUCAUUGGUGCUAAUCAUUAAUUCUAAAAAUCCGAGUAGUUAGAAAGAUAUAAUCAAUUCACUUAAAAUGUUCAAACACAGCAUCCACGAGUUUUGAUUAUUAUUUGGCCCGACCAAUCUCCCCCCAUUUCGAACAUGACUGAGCCCGCUAUUUCGAACGUGACUCGAUCCAACCUAACCUUCCACCAUAAGACCGAAUGCUGGUCUUUUUAAGCCAACAGAAUCAACAAGUUGACCAUUUCACUCAAAAUUUGAUUGAUGCAUGGUCACAUGGCUAAUGAACAUUUUUUCAGAUUUUGUUGUAAAUUAUUACAGAAUUAUUAUUCAGAGGAUAAAUUUUAGUAUUUUAAAGAAAAAUUAUUACAUGGUUAAAUUCGUGCUAGGGGUAAAAUUGGUAUUUAAAAAAUAUUGGAUGAACUUUAAGAGGAAUAUUGAUGAUAUUUACAUGGCUAACGAAUAUUUUUAGUUUUAAGAGGAAUAUUAGUAAUAUUUUUUAGUUUAGAAGGCCAUUUAUUAAAUUAUGGUCUUCUAGAGGGGUAUUGUUGAAAUUAUU